rnacentral:tRNA from 1 species
GAGGGUAUAGCUCAAGUGGCAGAGUGUGUGCUUAGCAUGCAUGAGGCCCUGGGUUCAAUUCCCAGUGCAUUCU